CAUGUAGGCGGCCUUAUAAGCCUGGCGUGAAAGUCACCGGCUCAACCGGUGGAUUGCGCUGGGAACUGUAGGGCUUGAGUCAUGGAGAGGAAGGCAGAAUUCCUGGUGUAGGGGUGAAAUCUGUAGAGAUCAGGAAGAAUACCAGUGGCGAAGGCGGCCUUCUGGCCAAUGACUGACGCUGAGGUGCGAAAGUGUGGGGAUCAAACAGGAUUAGAUACCCUGGUAGUCCACACUGUAAACGAUGUGCGACUAGGUGCUGGGGCGGAUGCUUCAGUGCCGGAGCUAACGCGGUAAGUGCACCGCCUGGGGAGUAUGCUCGCAAGGGUGAA
rnacentral:rRNA from 1 species